GAUGAACGCUAGCUACAGGCUUAACACAUGCAAGUCGAGGGGAAACGAUAUUGGAAGCUUGCUUCCGAUAGGCGUCGACCGGCGCACGGGUGAGUAACGCGUAUCCAACCUGCCCAUCACUUGGGAAUAACCUUGCGAAAGUAAGACUAAUGCCCAAUGACAUUUAUAGAAGGCAUCCGAAAUGAAUUAAAGAUUUAUCGGUGAUGGAUGGGGAUGCGUCUGAUUAGCUUGUUGGCGGGGUAACGGCCCGCCAAGGCGACGAUCAGUAGGGGUUCUGAGAGGAAGGUCCCCCACAUUGGAACUGAGACACGGUCCAAACUCCUACGGGAGGCAGCAGUGAGGAAUAUUGGUCAAUGGGCGAGAGCCUGAACCAGCCAAGUAGCGUGCAGGAAGACGGCCCUAUGGGUUGUAAACUGCUUUUAUAGGGGAAUAAAGUGAGCCACGUGUGGUUUUUUGCAUGUACCCUAUGAAUAAGGACCGGCUAAUUCCGUGCCAGCAGCCGCGGUAAUACGGAAGGUCCGGGCGUUAUCCGGAUUUAUUGGGUUUAAAGGGAGCGUAGGCCGGAGAUUAAGCGUGUUGUGAAAUGUAGACGCUCAACGUCUGCACUGCAGCGCGAACUGGUUUCCUUGAGUACGCAUAAAGUGGGCGGAAUUCGUGGUGUAGCGGUGAAAUGCUUAGAUAUCACGAAGAACUCCGAUUGCGAAGGCAGCUCACUGGGGCGCAACUGACGCUGAAGCUCGAAAGCGCGGGUAUCGAACAGG
rnacentral:rRNA from 1 species